CAGCAGCCACGGGAAUACGGAGGGUGCAAGCGUUAAUCGGAAUUACUGGGCGUAAAGCGCACGCAGGCGGUUUGUUAAGUCAGAUGUGAAAUCCCCGAGCUUAACUUGGGAACCGCAUUUGAAACUGGCAAGCUAGAGUCUUGUAGAGGGGGGUAGAAUUCCAGGUGUAGCGGUGAAAUGCGUAGAGAUCUGGAGGAAUACCGGUGGGGAAGGCGGCCCCCUGGACAAAGACUGACGCUCAGGUGCGAAAGCGUGGGGAGCAAACAGGAUUAGAUACCCCAGUAGUCCCUGUCUCUUAUAC
rnacentral:rRNA from 1 species